AAAUGAAUAAAAUAAAAAUUUGUCUCAUCUGUCACAUAAAAUAAAAAUGUAAGAUGAUGGCAUUUCCAAAAUUAUGUCCAUCCAACAAAAUGCUGUGUGUAUGUGUGUGUGUGUGCACGUGUGUGUGUAACAUUUCAGGAAACAAGUACUACUCAGCAUUUCUAGUUCAACCACUGUAUUAUUCAAGCAUUUUUCAAAAGAAAUCACAUCACAUAUGCAUCUCAACAUCUUAUUUUAUAUAACAGAGAACAGAGUGUGCUUCAGUUGAACAAAACACACAAACAUCCAUACAGAAGGAAAUCACUCAGCUCCUCAUAUUACUAUAGUCUUGAACAUUCUAAAUUGUCACUAUUGUAAGCAAACUGUGGCAUCAGCAAACUCCAUAAUGAUGGCACCUGUUUUUGUCACUGGCUCAGUGGUUACCAUUGAUAUUUUGCAACAAUUAGCUACUAUACUUUAGUAAAGCAAGACAAAAGUUACUGCAAAAAUGUAUACAUAUGGUGCACUAGUACUGCUUGCACUAGUGCAAAUAUGCCCUAACGUAUGAGCUUUGGCCCACGACAUCACUGGUCAACCUAACACCAGCUCAUCCUGGGCUAUACAACUGAUGAAAGCCAUGAGUCUCCCUUAAAGCAAAUCUGAAUUGUUAUAUCUUUCUAAGACCUAAUACUCAACUAUUUUCAAAGAUUCUAUAUAAGGUGAAAAAGAAGAAAAAAAUGAAUGUGCUACUCUAGGCUUAUAAUGAUGAACAAAGCUGACAAGGAUGGGAAUCUUUCAGAUCAUUGGAAUCCUAUAGUGGAUAAAUAGAUUUUUACGUCUCAUAGCUCACAUUAGAAAAAUUUUGAAAAGAUGGUCAUGCUAUUGGGUAAAAUAACAUAAAUGCUUCACGAAGACUACUUUUCACAGAGGAGCUAUUCCCACAGAAUCUGUCACCACUGUUCUUUCAAAUGUUUGGCUUUUUCCAUGAAAAUACAAUGUUCAGGAAAGCAUCCAAAUGUGGAAUGAUGGGAGCUCAAAUAAGGGUUUCUUAUGACAAAUGAGCCUUAUCUAUAAUAGAAAAAGAAUGGACACUAUCUAAACUCACAAGAAGGGAAUAAUUUCAUAAAGUAAGGUAUGUCUCCUUGACACAAGAUUAUUUUGGGAUUUAAAUUAUUGGACAAAUACCAUAGGACAUAAUGUCAACUACAAAAGUCAACAUACAAAUGUCUGUAUUCUUAUUCUUAUUAUUAUAUCUACAUGGACUGCAAUUCAACAUACAAGCAAAAUGUAGGUGAUCUAUGAGAAUGAAAGGAUUGUGCAAAACUUAAUCUUUUAAGAAAAUGUUCAUUAUGUUGCUUAAAAAGUUGUUCCCAUAGUAAUUCUUUCAUUGAGAAGAGUUUCAUACUCACAGUAUGUCCCUCCUGGCCUACCUGCUGUCCUACCUGCCUACUCCCUUCUCUACAUUUCAUCAUCACAUAGCUAAGAGAUCAGAGAGGAAAACCUUUUUGCAGGAAUGACACUAAAGAUGGAAUUGGCCAUCUUCAAAUCUUCUGAAUAAAUACUGUCCAGAACAAGUUUUCAAAUAAUAAGUUAUUGUUAAGGAGUUCCCAUGGUGGUUCAGCAGUCACAAACCCAACUAGUAUCCAUUAGAAUGUGGGUGCAAUCACUGCCCUCACUCAGUGGGUUAAGGCUCCAGGGUUUCCGUGAGCUGUGGAGUAGGUUGCAGACGCGGCUCAGAUCUGGCACUGCUGUGGCUAUCGUGCAGGCUGGCAGCUACAGCUCCAAGUUGACCCCUAGCCUGGGAACUUCCAUAUGCUGAGGAUAUAGCCCUAAAAAGACCACAAACAAAACAAAAAAAAGAAAAAUAAUAAUACACACUAUUGCGUAUAGAACGAAAGGUCAAUGGGACCUGCUGUAUAGCACAGAGAACUAUACCCAAUAUGCCAUCAUAUCAUAUGUAGGAAAAGCAUCUGAAAAAGAAGGGAUAUAUGUAUAUGUAUAACUGAAUCACUUGGUUCUAGAGCAGAAAUUAUCACAGCAUUGUAAAUCAUCUAUAUACUUCAAUACAACUUUAAAAACAAAAAAUAAAUAAAAUUAUAUUUAUAUAUAAAUACAAACAAACAAACAAAAACAAAGCCAGGUGGGAGAAAGUCUUGCAAACAAAAAUGAGUGACAAAGAAAUGAAAGCAAACUAUCAUCAGACACACAAAUAUAUCCAUCAGAUCAUAUAUAUAUAUAUGUAUCGUGAGAAAAAAUUUCAAUGCAAAAUAUACAAGUAAAUAUAAGAUUUUGAUGAUGUUAGGAUGAAAAUCUUUUCUUAUGUAUAAUGAAAUUCCAAAAACCAAUAGUAUCUUCUAAGUCU
ensembl:lncRNA